GCAUAUUACUGUAGUAGCCUGUCACAGUGUCCAUGCCAGGGCCAGCUGUGGCUGGGCCCAUUGCCUGACUGCUGCCUGUGGGCUGCUGCCACUGAAGUGGAUUGCACAGUA
ensembl:snoRNA